GCCAUACCCAUACCUUUUAUUUUUUUUCAUUCCCUUCCUCUCUCUCUCGUUCCCUGCCUCCUCUCCUCCAGUGUAACCCUAACCCAGCGCAGCCGAGCCUCUUCUCUCUCUCGCUGGGUCUUCAACUUCAAUCGCUCUGUCUCUCUCAAUCUCUCAGGCGACCCACAACGGCCCGACCCUUUUCCCUUAUCCCUCUCCUCUGUACUCUGGACCCUCUCUCCUUCCUUCCCAACUCCGCCGCUCUUCCGCUUCGUCUUCUUCCUUCACAGCGACCUGCAAGUGUCGCCAUCUCACUCGUCGUCACUGAUUUGCUCUCAGUUUCUCACCGCCAUGACCUGUGACCCACGACCUCUUGCUGUUUCGAGUCUCGACCCACUACUUCGUUCCUUUGCAAGGUUAUUUUCUUUCUGUAGCUGUCAUUCCUUGUCGUAUCUAGCAAACUUGUGGAAUUGUUUGUUAAUGUUGUCAUCCUUGGAGUUAUGUUGCAUUUGAUGUCGCGGUGGGAACUCAAAUUAUUAAUGAAUCUGAGGAUCAGGACACGACCGAUUUGCAUAAGUGUAUAGCAUACAUAUGUGACUCGGCACCAAACCUAGAUAAGUCUAAUGUAUGUUGUGUAUUAUUAUCGUUCCAACAUUCGUUUUGUUUUUCUACUGGAAUUGAGUCUGAUUUUGUAGGUGCUUUCGUAUAACUUUCGGUAACUAAAACUGUGUCCUUACUCCUUGCAACUUAUUGUGAGUUGGGUAGUUAAAUUUGUUGAUUACAGAUUUUGACACUUUGCUAAAUAGACUGCUAGUUUGUUUUUCACCUCUAUACAUGAACUGAGUUAUGUCGAUUGGAAACAUCAAUGUGUUAUGUCGAUUCUCAAACAUUCAAAUAAUUCUCAUAUCUGAUGAUUGCUUCAUCCAUCUUCACACCGCCAUGAGAUCCAUAUUCAGUCUUCUGUUGAAGGCCCUCAUUGUGGACUCAUACCCAUUGGGAUGCCAUCUGGAAGUACUACAACCACUGGACUUCAAUGGGAUCUCGCUGAAACGGAGAUGAGGUUUGGUGGUCUGAUAAGUACAU